AGUGAACGCUGGCGGUAGGCCUAACACAUGCAAGUCGAACGGCAGCACAGUAAGAGCUUGCUCUUACGGGUGGCGAGUGGCGGACGGGUGAGGAAUACAUCGGAAUCUACUUUUUCGUGGGGGAUAACGUAGGGAAACUUACGCUAAUACCGCAUACGACCUACGGGUGAAAGCAGGGGAUCUUCGGACCUUGCGCGAUUGAAUGAGCCGAUGUCGGAUUAGCUAGUUGGCGGGGUAAAGGCCCACCAAGGCGACGAUCCGUAGCUGGUCUGUGAGGAUGAGCAGCCACACUGGAACUGAGACACGGUCCAGACUCCUACGGGAGGCAGCAGUGGGGAAUAUUGGACAAUGGGCGCAAGCCUGAUCCAGCCAUACCGCGUGGGUGAAGAAGGCCUUCGGGUUUUAAAGCCCUUUUGUUGGGAAAGAAAAGCAGCAGGUUAAUACCCCGCUGUUCUGACGGUACCCAAAGAAUAAGCACCGGCUAACUUCGUG
rnacentral:rRNA from 1 species